rnacentral:lncRNA from 7 species
CGGGAGGUGGAGCCCGUCGUGGCGUGGUGGCACUCGGGAUCGUGCCUCGUGCGUGCGUGCCGCGGCGCUGUUGGCCCGUGCCCUGCCACCGCUCGGUGCUUUUCUAGAUGGUCCAUCGCCUGACCAGACCUGCCCUGGUCCGCCUCGGCUUCUCGAUCUGGUCAGUUCACACGGCGAUCCCGUGACGGCGAAGAAGGCAGAAGGAAUACUCUACGUUUUUCCAUGGCCUC